UAGGGAAAGUUUUUCGGUGUAGGAUGAGACUAUAUAGUAUCAGCUAGUUGGUAAGGUAAUGGCUUACCAAGGCUAUGACGCUUAACUGGUCUGAGAGGAUGAUCAGUCACACUGGAACUGAGACACGGUCCAGACUCCUACGGGAGGCAGCAGUAGGGAAUAUUGCGCAAUGGGGGAAACCCUGACGCAGCAACGCCGCGUGGAGGAUGACACUUUUCGGAGCGUAAACUCCUUUUCUUAGGGAAGAAUUCUGACGGUACCUAAGGAAUAAGCACCGGCUAACUCCGUGCCAGCAGCCGCGGUAAUACGGAGGGUGCAAGCGUUACUCGGAAUCACUGGGCGUAAAGGGCGCGUAGGCGGAUUAUCAAGUCUCUUGUGAAAUCUAAUGGCUUAACCAUUAAACUGCUUGGGAAACUGAUAGUCUGGAGUGAGGGAGAGGCAGAUGGAAUUGGUGGUGUAGGGGUAAAAUCCGUAGAUAUCACCAAGAAUACCCAUUGCGAAGGCGAUCUGCUGGAACUCAACUGACGCUAAGGCGCGAAAGCGUGGGGAGCAAACAGGAUUAGAUACCCUGGUAGUCCACGCCCUAAACGAUGUACACUAGUUGUUGGGGUGCUAGUCAUCUCAGUAAUGCAGCUAACGCAUUAAGUGUACCGCCUGGGGAGUACGGUCGCAAGAUUAAAACUCAAAGGAAUAGACGGGGACCCGCACAAGCGGUGGAGCAUGUGGUUUAAUUCGAAGAUACGCGAAGAACCUUACCUGGGCUUGAUAUCCUAAGAACCUCUUAGAGAUAAGAGGGUGCUAGCUUGCUAGAACUUAGAGACAGGUGCUGCACGGCUGUCGUCAGCUCGUGUCGUGAGAUGUUGGGUUAAGUCCCGCAACGAGCGCAACCCACGUAUUUAGUUGCUAACGGUUCGGCCGAGCACUCUAAAUAGACUGCCUUCGUAAGGAGGAGGAAGGUGUGGACGACGUCAAGUCAUCAUGGCCCUUAUGCCCAGGGCGACACACGUGCUACAAUGGCAUAUACAAUGAGACGCAAUACCGCGAGGUGGAGCAAAUCUAUAAAAUAUGUCCCAGUUCGGAUUGUUCUCUGCAACUCGAGAGCAUGAAGCCGGAAUCGCUAGUAAUCGUAGAUCAGCCAUGCUACGGUGAAUACGUUCCCGGGUCUUGUACUCACCGCCCGUCACACCAUGGGAGUUGAUUUCACUCGAAGCCGGAAUACUAAACUAGUUACCGUCCACAGUGGAAUCAGCGACUGGGGUGAAGUCGUAACAAGGUAACCGUAGGAGAACCUGCGGUUGGAUCACCUCCUUU
rnacentral:rRNA from 1 species